GUAUGGUGCAAGCGUUAUCCGGAUUUACUGGGUGUAAAGGGAGCGCAGGCGGAAGGCUAAGUCUGAUGUGAAAACCCGGGGCUCAACCCCGGGACUGCAUUGGAAACUGUUCAUCUAGAGUGCCGGAGAGGUAAGUGGAAUUCCUAGUGUAGCGGUGAAAUGCGUAGAUAUUAGGAGGAACACCAGUGGCGAAGGCGGCUUACUGGACAGUAACUGACGUUGAGGCUCGAAAGCGUGGGGAGCAAACAGGAUUAGAUACCCUGGUAGUCCACGCCGUAAACGAUGACUACUAGGUGUCGGGUGGCAAAGCCAUUCGGUGCCGCAGCAAACGCAAUAAGUAGUCCACCUGGGGAGU
rnacentral:rRNA from 1 species